CAACUACUCCAUCUGUCCCAAAUUUCUUGUCUUAGAUUUGUCUAGAUAUGGAUGUAUCUAAUACUAAAAUGUGACUUGAUACAUCCGUAUCUAGAUAAAUCUAAGACAAGAAUUUUGGGACGGAGGGAGUACUUU
rnacentral:pre_miRNA from 1 species